rnacentral:rRNA from 1 species
ACGGGUGAGUAACACGUGGGCAACCUGCCCUGUAGACGGGGAUAACACCGAGAAAUCGGUGCUAAUACCGGAUAACACGAAAGACCGCAUGGUCUUUCGUUGAAAGACGGCGCAAGCUGUCGCUACAGGAUGGGCCCGCGGCGCAUUAGCUAGUUGGUGAGGUAACGGCUCACCAAGGCGACGAUGCGUAGCCGACCUGAGAGGGUGAUCGGCCACACUGGGACUGAGACACGGCCCAGACUCCUACGGGAGGCAGCAGUAGGGAAUCUUCCGCAAUGGACGAAAGUCUGACGGAGCAACGCCGCGUGAGCGAAGAAGGCCUUCGGGUCGUAAAGCUCUGUUGUUAGGGAAGAACAAGUACCGCAGUCACUGGCGGUACCUUGACGGUACCUAACGAGGAAGCCACGGCUAACUACGUGCCAGCAGCCGCGGUAAUACGUAGGUGGC